GGGGUUGUAGCGCAGUGGUAGCGCGUCUGCUUCGCAUGCAGAAGGCCUUGGGUUCGAUCUCCAACUGCUCCA